rnacentral:rRNA from 2 species
CACAGGCGCGAAACCUUUACACUGCACGACAGUGCGAUAGGGGGAUCCCAAGUGCACAGGCAUAGCGCCUGUGCUUUUCGGUACCCUAAGGCGGUACCAGAAUAAGGGCUGGGCAAGACCGGUGCCAGCCGCCGCGGUAAUACCGGCAGCCCAAGUGAUGGCCGAUCUUAUUGGGCCUAAAGCGUCCGUAGCUGGCCACGCAAGUCCAUCGGGAAAUCCACCUGCCCAACAGGUGGACGCCCGGUAGAAACUGCGUGGCUUGGGACCGGAAGGCGCGACGGGUACGUCCGGGGUAGGAGUGAAAUCCCGUAAUCCUGGACGGACCGCCGAUGGCGAAAGCACGUCGCGAGAACGGAUCCGACAGUGAGGGACGAAAGCCAGGGUCUCGAACCGGAUUAGAUACCCGGGUAGUCCUGGCCGUAAACAAUGUCUGCUAGGUGUGGCUCCCACUACGAGUGGGUGCUGUGCCGCAGGGAAGCCGCUAAGCAGACCGCCUGGGAAGUACGUCCGCAAGGAUGAAACUUAAAGGAAUUGGGGGGGGAGCAC